CCUACGAGGGACAGCAGUGAGGAAUAUUGGUCAAUGGGCGCGAGCCUGAACCAGCCAAGUAGCGUGAAGGAUGACUGCCCUACGGGUUGUAAACUUCUUUUAUAAAGGAAUACAGUGAGGCUCGUGUGCCUUUUUGUAUGUACUUUAUGAAUUAGGAUCGGCUAACUCCGUGCCAGCAGCCGCGGUAAUACGGAGGAUCCGAGCGUUAUCCGGAUUUAUUGGGUUCAAAGGGAGCGUAGAUGGGUUGUUAAGUCAGUUGUGAAAGUUUGCGGCUCAACCGUAAACUUGCAAUUGAUACUGGCAGUCUUGAGGACAGUGGAGGAAGGGGUAAUUCGUGGUGUAGCGGUGAAAUGCAUAGAUAUCACGAAGAACUCCAAUUGAGAAGGCAGCUUACUAAGCUGCCACAGACAUUGAUGCUCGAUAGUGUGGGUAUCAAACAGGAGUAGAUACCCUGGUAGUA
rnacentral:rRNA from 1 species